GACGAACCGAGCGAACGUUGUUCGGAAUCACUGGGCUUAAAGGGCGCGUAGGCGGGCUGUCAAGUCUGGGGUGAAAUCCCACGGCUCAACCGUGGAACUGCCUUAGAUACUGACGGCCUCGAGGGAGGUAGGGGCAUGCGGAACUGAUGGUGGAGCGGUGAAAUGCGUUGAUAUCAUCAGGAACUCCGGUGGCGAAGGCGGCGUGCUGGACCUUUUCUGACGCUGAGGCGCGAAAGCCAGGGGAGCAAACGGG
rnacentral:rRNA from 1 species